rnacentral:misc_RNA from 1 species
CCAAUAGCGUAUAUUAAAGUUGUUGCAGUUAAAAAGCUCGUAGUUGAAUUUCGGAGUUUGUCGGUUGGUCGGGCUUCAUUGUCCGCACUGACCUGAUGGAUUCCUACCUUCUGAAUAACCAGCAUGCUAUUAAGUUAGUGCGUUGGGGAAGCAGAGCUAUUACCUUGAAAAAAUUAGAGUGCUUAAAGCAGGCUUAUGCUUGAAUAGAUUAGCAUGGAAUAAUAAAAUAGGACGGCAUGGUUCUAUUUUGUUGGUUUCUAGGAUCACCGUAAUAAUUAAUAGGGAUAGUUGGGGGCAUUAGUAUUCAAUUGUCAGAGGUGAAAUUCUUGGAUGUAUUGAAGACUAACUUCUGCGAAAGCAUUUGCCAAGGAUGUUUUCAUUAAUCAAGAACGAAAGUUAGGGGAUCGAAGACGAUCAGAUACCGUCGUAGUCUUAACCAUAAACUAUGCCGACUAGGGAUCGGACGAUGUUAAUUUUUUAAUGACUCGUUCGGCGCCUUACG